CCUACAGCCCCAUAGGAGAAGACACAUAGAUCGGCCAUGACAACUCGGGUCAACAGCAUCAGCAAGUCCGGACUACCUUUGCUUCCAGAUGUGGGUCUCUCACGGGGAGGAAGAAGAAAAUCACGGAAACAAGUGCAGCGAUGGAUUUAGUGGCACGAAUGUACAGAAGCGGGGACACCAUCUUUUGGCUGAUCUGCGUGUUGGCUGGCCCGAAUUGAGCGACACCCUGCAUGCUAACUGAUUUAUUUAAAGAAUCAAAUCAGAUAUCCAAUGGUGGAUGUGCUUUGCUUCUGACUGCACAUAUCGCUUUAGGACAGUUGGU